GAUGAAGAACGCAGCGAAAUGCGAUAAGUAAUGUGAAUUGCAGAAUUCAGUGAAUCAUCGAAUCUUUGAACGCACCUUGCGCUCCUUGGUAUUCCGAGGAGCAUGCCUGUUUGAGUGUCAUGAAAUUCUCAACCUUUUCAGCUUUCUUUGUUGAUCAGGCUUGGAUGUGGGAGUAUGCGGGCUUCUCAGAAGUCGGCUCUCCUGAAAUGCAUUAGCGGGACCUUUGUUGCCUGGCUUUGGUGUGAUAAUUAUCUACGCCAUUGUAGUCAAGGAGCUUUAAAUGAGGUUUCAGCUUCUAACCGUCUCCCCUGAGACAACUUUUUGACAAUUUGACCUCAAAUCAGGUAGGACUACCCGCUGAACUUAAGCAUAUCAAUAAGCGGAGGA
rnacentral:misc_RNA from 1 species